rnacentral:rRNA from 1 species
GACGAACGCUGGCGGCGUGCUUAACACAUGCAAGUCGAACGGAAAGGCCCUGCUUUUGUGGGGUGCUCGAGUGGCGAACGGGUGAGUAACACGUGAGUAACCUGCCCUUGACUUUGGGAUAACUUCAGGAAACUGGGGCUAAUCCCGGAUAGGAGCUCCUGCUGCAUGGUGGGGGUUGGAAAGUUUCGGCGGUUGGGGAUGGACUCGCGGCUUAUCAGCUUGUUGGUGGGGUAGUGGCUUACCAAGGCUUUGACGGGUAGCCGGCCUGAGAGGGUGGCCGGCCACAUUGGGACUGAGAGACGGCCCAGACGCCUACGGGAGGCAGCAGUGGGGAAUAUUGCACAAUGGGCGGAAGCCUGAGGAAGAGACGCCGCGUGCGGGAUGACGGCCUUCGGGUUGUAAACCGCUUUCGCCUGUGACGAAGCGUGAGUGACGGUAAUGGGUAAAGAAGCACCGGCUAACUACGUG